rnacentral:rRNA from 1 species
AACGAACGCUGGCGGCAGGCCUAACACAUGCAAGUCGAGCGAAGCCUUCGGGCUUAGCGGCGGACGGGUGAGUAACGCGUGGGAACGUGCCCUUUGGUACGGAAUAGCCCCGGGAAACUGGGAGUAAUACCGUAUGUGCCCUUCGGGGGAAAGAUUUAUCGCCAAAGGAUCGGCCCGCGUUGGAUUAAGUAGUUGGUGGGGUAAUGGCCUACCAAGCCGACGAUCCAUAGCUGGUUUGAGAGGAUGAUCAGCCACACUGGGACUGAGACACGGCCCAGACUCCUACGGGAGGCAGCAGUGGGGAAUCUUAGACAAUGGGGAAAACCCUGAUCUAGCCAUGCCGCGUGAUCGAUGAAGGCCUUAGGGUUGUAAAGAUCUUUCAGUGGGGAAGAUAAUGACUGUACCCACAGAAGAAGCCCCGGCUAACUCCGUGCCAGCCGCCGCCGUAAAAC